rnacentral:rRNA from 1 species
UACGUAGGGGGCAAGCGUUGUCCGGAUUUAUUGGGCGUAAAGAGCGUGUAGGCGGUUAGGUAGGUCCGUUGUGAAAACUCGAGGCUCAACCUCGAGACGCCGAUGGAAACCAUCUAACUAGAGUCCGGAAGAGGAGAGUGGAAUUCCGUGGUGUAGCGGUGAAAUGCGCAGAUAUCAGGAAGAACACCCGUGGCUAAGGCGGCUCUCUAGUACGGUACUGACGCUGAGACGCGAAAGCGUGGGGAGCGAACAGG